rfam:Ipomoea nil DNA, scaffold: scaffold0465, cultivar: Tokyo-kokei standard.
GAGCAUUUAGUGUAGUGGUAUCAUAGUACCCUCCCACGGUACUGACCGGGAUUUAAUUCCCCGAAUGCGCA